GACGAACGCUGGCGGCAGGCUUAACACAUGCAAGUCGAACGCCCCGCAAGGGGAGUGGCAGACGGGUGAGUAACACGUGGGAACGUACCCUUUGGUUCGGAAUAACUUGGGGAAACUCAAGCUAAUACCGGAUAAGCCCUUAUGGGGAAAGGUUUACUGCCGAAGGAUCGGCCCGCGUCUGAUUAGCUAGUUGGUGAGGUAAUGGCUCACCAAGGCGACGAUCAGUAGCUGGUCUGAGAGGAUGAUCAGCCACACUGGGACUGAGACACGGCCCAGACUCCUACGGGAGGCAGCAGUGGGGAAUAUUGGACAAUGGGGGCAACCCUGAUCCAGCCAUGCCGCGUGAGUGAUGAAGGCCUUAGGGUUGUAAAGCUCUUUUACCCGGGACGAUAAUGACUGUACCGGGAGAAUAAGCCCCGGCUAACUUCGUGCCAGCCGCCGCGGUAA
rnacentral:rRNA from 1 species